rnacentral:rRNA from 1 species
UACGAAGGGGGCUAGCGUUGCUCGGAAUCACUGGGCGUAAAGCGCACGUAGGCGGCUUUUUAAGUCAGGGGUGAAAUCCUGGAGCUCAACUCCAGAACUGCCUUUGAUACUGAGAGCUUGAGUCCGGAGAGGUGAGUGGAACUGCGAGUGUAGAGGUGAAAUUCGUAGAUAUUCGCAAGAACACCAGUGGCGAAGGCGGCUCACUGGCCCGGUACUGACGCUGAGGUGCGAAAGCGUGGGAGCAACAGGG